AUGAACAAUAUUGUAUAAUUGGAUAUUGUAUAAAAGUGUGCUUCAAAUUGUUUACUUUAAAUUAUUUGUAGCUAUCGUCUCUAUCUGUGCGUGAGAGUGCAGUCGACUCAAGUUGCCCUACCAAGAAACACGUAAUACCGUAAAGUGUUGUGUAUUCGUGCAUAACAAUUCAGGCGGAUACUGGCUUGACCAUUUUGCGAGUGUCAGUUCAGUUAUCAAAUGGUCACAUUUGUGCAGAUUUUUUUUAUUUUUAAACCCGGCUCGGCUCGGGUUUAACAUUUUGAGGAUCCUUCAAUUUCAAGAAUUUCACCAAUCGUCCCAAAACAAGGCUGGGGGGACUAUGGAAGAGGCUUUGGUCUAAUGCAGGUUGAUGUUACUCCACAUAGUGGCAACCACACUCAAAAGGGAGAAUAGGACAGCCAGGACCAUCUUAAACAAGGCACUUGAGAUUCUCAGAAAUUUCAUCAAAAAGAUCCAGAGAAAGUUUCCUGACUGGACCAGGGAGCAGCUGCUGAAAGAUGGGGCGAUGACACACCCUCCCACCGCACCCCCAAGGUACAGCGCAGCAGCAGACUAUGUGCAUCCAAAAUGGCACCCUAUUCACUACAUUGUGCACUACUCUCAACCGGGGUCUUAUGAGCCCUGGUGA